UAAAACUUGUGGGACGCUAUCCCACAUCUCCUGAAUGCAACUCAGACACUUUAAUUAAGCUAAAGCCUU
rnacentral:tRNA from 1 species